AUUGAACGCUGGCGGCAGGCCUAACACAUGCAAGUCGAACGAGGGGCGGGCGUGAGAGUUAUGUCUGGGAAACUGCCUGAUGGAGGGGGUAAACUACUGGAAACGGUUGCUAAAACCGCAUACCAUCAGCUGUGCCCAGAUGGGAUUAGCUAGUUGGUGGGGUAACGGCUUACAAAGGCGACGAUCCCUAGUUGGUCUGAGAGGAUGACCAGCCACACUGGAACUGAGACACGGUCCAGACUCCUACGGGAGGAAGCAGUGGGGAAGAUUGGACAAUGGGCGCAAGCCUGAUGCAGCCAUGCCGCGUGUAUGAAGAAGGCCUUCGGGUUGUAAAGUACUUUAAGCGGUGAGGCGUUACCCGCAGAAGAAGCACCGGCUAACUCCGUGCCAGCCGCCGCGGUAAUAC
rnacentral:rRNA from 1 species